UACAGAGGGGGCAAGCGUUGUUCGGAAUUACUGGGCGUAAAGGGCGCGUAGGCGGCCUUCUAAGUCGAACGUGAAAUCCCUGGGCUCAACCCAGGAACUGCGUCCGAUACUGGAAGGCUUGAAUCCGGGAGAGGGAUGCGGAAUUCCAGGUGUAGCGGUGAAAUGCGUAGAUAUCAGGAGGAACACCGAUGGCGAAGGCAGGUCUCUGGGCUGCCACUGACGCUCAUGCACGAAAGCGUGGGGAGCAAACAGG
rnacentral:rRNA from 1 species